AAUCACCGUAGCACUUUUUUGGGAAAAAUUAGAAUAAAUAGGAGCUUGGAAAUCUGACCUUGGCUGGUGUUAGAAUGGAGAGAAUCUGGUACUUCUUAUUUUCUCAUUCAGAUUCUCAGUGUUCUGGGAAGCAGUUUGCUCAAGUUUCUUUUCUCCAUUUAGCUCUCCUGAAUGCCCAGCUUCAGUGCCUGGUUACUGCUGCCAAGGAUCCUGUUGGCACAUUCAGCUGCCAUUCAGAGAAACAGCCCUCCACACCGCCUCGCGCUUGGAAGUCUGUCUUACAGCAUAAAACAGAAAAAGACUGUUAGUAUUCAAAUGUGGUAGUUAUUUUACACUAAAUUAAAUCUACACUUUGAUAGAAGAUAAAAAUGUGACUAAUUGAAAUCAAUUCCUGGAAGAUGAAAUCUCAGCAUAAAGUUUUGUGAAUAUCAACACUGUCAGUUACAUCUACUCAAGAUUCCCUAGAACUUAUUAAUGUCUAUCAGGCUUAAAAAAAUAGUUGUGUGGUUUUGCCUUCAUCCUUUCCUUUUUGUUGAACAUAUCCAGACCAAUAAUAAGAGAUCCAAUUGCCCCCAUUUCAGAAUGGGUUUACAUGGGCAUUAUUGAUACAGUAAAUGAUCCUGUAUCACCAGCAAAGCAUAGAAUUAAAAUUGACCUUGGCUUACACUGA